UACGGAGGGGGCGAGCGUUAUUCGGAAUUAUUGGGCGUAAAGGGCGCGUAGGCGGCUUGAUGUGUCAAAGGUGAAAUCCCUCGGAUCAACUGAGGAACUGCCUUUGAAACUGUCUGGCUUGAGGCCGGGAGAGGGUAGCGGAAUUCCCAGUGUAGCGGUGAAAUGCGUAGAUACUGGGAGGAACACCGGUGGCGAAGGCGGCUACCUGGACCGGUUCUGACGCUGAUGCGCGAAAGCGUGGGUAGCAAACAGG
rnacentral:rRNA from 1 species